rnacentral:rRNA from 1 species
UUACCCUACGGGAGGCAGCAGUGGGGAAUAUUGCACAAUGGGGGAAACCCUGAUGCAGCAACGCCGCGUGAAGGAAGACGGUUUUCGGAUUGUAAACUUCUGUUCAUAGUGAAGAAAAAUGACGGUAGCUAAGGAGCAAGCCACGGCUAACUACGUGCCAGCAGCCGCGGUAAUACGUAGGUGGCAAGCGUUGUCCGGAAUUAAUGGGUGUAAAGGGAGCGCAGGCGGGAAGCCAAGUCAGCUGUGAAAACUACGGGCUUAACUUGUAGACUGCAGUUAAACCUGGGUUUCUUGAGCGAAGUAGG